rnacentral:rRNA from 1 species
AUUGAACGCUGGCGGCAGGCUUAACACAUGCAAGUCGAGCGAGCGGCGGACGGGUGAGUAAUGUAUGGGAAACUGCCUGAUGGAGGGGGAUAACUACUGGAAACGGUAGCUAAUACCGCAUACCAUCAGAUGAGCCCAUAUGGGAUUAGCUAGUAGGUGGGGUAAUGGCUCACCUUGGCGACGAUCCCUAGCUGGUCUGAGAGGAUGGCCCGCCCAAAUGGAACUGGGAAACGGUCCAGAAUCCUACGGGCGGACGCAGUGGGGAAUUUUGCACAAUGGGGGGCAGCCUGAAUGAACCAAGCCGGGGUUGUGAAGAAGGCCUUCGGGUUUUAAAGCAAUUUCAGGUGGGAGGCGUUAUCGAAGAAAAGCACCGGCUAACUCCGUGCCAGCAGCCGCGGUAAUUG